UACAGAGGGUGCGAGCGUUAAUCGGAAUUACUGGGCGUAAAGCGUGCGUAGACGGUUCUGUAAGUCGGAUGUGAAAUCCCCGGGCUCAACCUGGGAAUUGCAUUCGAGACUGCAAAGCUUGGGUGCGGAAGAGGGAAGCGGAAUUUCCGGUGUAGCGGUGAAAUGCGUAGAUAUCUGGAAGAACACCAAAGGCGAAGGCAGUGUCCUGGGUGGUCGCUGACGCUGAGGAGCGAAAGCGUGGGGAGCGAACAGG
rnacentral:rRNA from 1 species